GCAUCAUCUCCCGUUUUCUGCACCAUUCCAGUAAGUCAAAAUGCUUGUGCCGGGAGUAUUAUUUCUUUAAUCGUCGUGCACUUCAGGAUUACACUGACUGCCGCCAUGUUGCAUUAGUGUCUUGGCGCCAGGAAAGUAAUUAUUCAGCGAACCUUUAACUCAAUACUUAAAUGUACCUGGCUCGUGUGUUGCACCUGGAGGCUCGUCCGCCUAACGGGCCGAAUUAAGAAGCAGCAGGCGUCAGUGGAAGGGCUUCUCUGCAGUGGAAACUCAGGCUAUUCGUCUCCUCUCCUGUCCUUCCACCACCACCACCACCACCACCACCACCACCUUCCCUGUACAAAAUCGCAGCCGUCACCCGCAGGACACGUUAACGGGGCCGUGUCUGGGUUAACCGAGCUGUCACCACCUCAACCAGAAACUGUCUAAGCGGGAGUCGUAAAUCAGCGGAAUAGCAUCGCCAGAUGUGUCCUCGCCUCUUGAUGCUCGGAGUGGUGGUGAUGGUGGUACUGCAGGCCUGUGUGACCACCGCAGCUCCUCAGUUAGGCAACCCUCAUGGUGGUGGCGGAACCUACGGUGAUAAUGACAGAGGCCAUCCUGGUGAUGACGGAGGCCAUGAUGAUGACGAUGAUGGAGGCCAUCAUGGUGAUGACGGAGGCCAUGAUGAUGACGAUGAUGGAGGCCAUCAUGGUGAUGACAGCACCUACCGUGAUGAUCGUGAUGAUGAUGGACAUGAUGAUGAUGGAUACGGUGAUGACUCCUACCAUGGUGAUAAAGGCCGUCAUGAUAAACACUGAGACGUGUGCAUCGUGUACGGUCACCAGCUCGCCACGACUUCGUCUGAAAUAUCUGGAUGGUGAUUUGAAAAGUCGCCAGCCUGGAAGCACAUGAAGAAAAAAAAUCAUUGUC